AGGAUUAACGCUGGCGGCGUGCCUAACACAUGCAAGUCGAACGAGGUAGCAAUACCUAGUGGCAGACGGGUGAGUAACACGUGGUCAACCUACCGCUUUGUGGGGAUAACUAGCCGAAAGGUUAGCUAAUACCGCAUACGUCGCAGGCCGGCAUCGGUCGACGAUAAAAGGAGCAAUCCGCAAGGUGACGGGACCGCGUCCCAUUAGCUAGUUGGUGAGGUAAUGGCCCACCAAGGCUCCGAUGGGUAGCUGGUUUGAGAGAGCGACCAGCCACACUGGGACUGAGAUACGGCCCAGACUCCUACGGGAGGCAGCAGUGAGGAAUUUUCCGCAAUGGGCGAAAGCCUGACGGAGCGACGCCGCGUGUGGGAAGAAGGCCUUCGGGUCGUAAACCACUGUCGAAGGGGAAGAUAUUGACGGUACCCUUGGAGGAAGCCCCGGCUAACUACGUGCCAGCAGCCGC
rnacentral:rRNA from 1 species